AACCCAUGGUGAGGGUACUGUCUCAAUAAGUCCUUAUACCUCUCCCAUUCAUCAUAUAGGGUCUCUAAGUCAAUCUAAAACAAGAAAGAGAUAUCAUUUCUCAACUU
rfam:Gossypium raimondii chromosome 2, whole genome shotgun sequence.